UAGAACUGCUCUGUGAAUUAGGUAGUUUCAUGUUGUUGGGGCUUUUAAUUUUAAACACAAGGACAUCGAACUACCUGAUUUACUCCAGUUAAC
rnacentral:pre_miRNA from 1 species